GUCAAUCCCUAGUGAUAGUUAUAUGACAAGGAAUUAGGUAAUUUACGAAAGAAGAUUCUGGUUGAACCGAGUAAAGCAAAACUAACCCAACGAUAAAUGAUUUCCUUGUCUUUUUGAGCAUCAACCUUCUCUGUUCUGUUCUAGCUUAUCGAAGCCCUACAACUUUUUCUAGAGCUCAAACACAGAAGUCUCAGAUGGUCGGGUCGGUGAUUCAUUUAGCAAUAACAUUUCUUACUGACACCAUGUGAAGCAGCAUCCGCCAUUUGAGUGUC
rnacentral:lncRNA from 1 species